GACGAACGCUGGCGGCGUGCCUAAUACAUGCAAGUAGAACGCUGAAGAGAGGAGCUUGCUCUUCUUGGAUGAGUUGCGAACGGGUGAGUAACGCGUAGGUAACCUGCCUUGUAGCGGGGGAUAACUAUUGGAAACGAUAGCUAAUACCGCAUAACAAUGGAUGGCACAUGUCAUUUAUUUGAAAGGGGCAAUUGCUCCACUACAAGAUGGACCUGCGUUGUAUUAGCUAGUAGGUGAGGUAAUGGCUCACCUAGGCGACGAUACAUAGCCGACCUGAGAGGGUGAUCGGCCACACUGGGACUGAGACACGGCCCAGACUCCUACGGGAGGCAGCAGUAGGGAAUCUUCGGCAAUAGGGGCAACCCUGACCGAGCAACGCCGCGUGAGUGAAGAAGGUUUUCGGAUCGUAAAGCUCUGUUGUAAGUCAAGAACGGGUGUGAGAGUGGAAAGUUCACACUGUGACGGUAGCUUACCAGAAAGGGACGGCUAACUACGUG
rnacentral:rRNA from 1 species